GGAUGAACGCUGGCGGCGUGCCUAACCCAUGUAAGUCGAACGCUGCUGUCGCAAGACAGCGGAGUGGCGGAAGGGUGAGUAACACGUGGGCGACCUACCUCAUCGCAGGGAACAACCGCGCGAAAGCGCGACUAAUACCCAAAAGGCUCGGUGCUUCGGUGUGGCGAGCAGAGUGCGUAAGUGCGUGAUGAGCGGGGCCUGCGGCCCAUCAGCUAGUUGGUAGGGUAGCGGCCUACCAAGGCGACGACGGGUAGGGGGUCUGAGAGGACGAUCCCCCACACUGGAACUGAAACACGGUCCAGACGCCUACGGGUGGCAGCAGGGAGGAAUAUUGCACAAUGGGCGCAAGCCCGAUGCAGCAACGCCGCGUGGAGGAUGACGGCCUUCGGGUCGUAAACUCCUUUUGAGGGAGACGAGCAAGGACGGUAUCCCUUGAAUAAGCCACGGCUAACUACGUGCCAGCAGCCGCGGUAAAACGUAGGUGGCGAGCGUUAUCCGGAUUCAUUGGGCGUAAAGCGCUUGUAGGUGGCUUGGUAAGUUGGACGUGAAAUCUCCCGGCUUAACCGGGAGGGGUCGUUCAAUACUGCCGGGCUGGAGGAUGUCAGAGGGCAGCGGAAUUCCUGGUGUAGCAGUGAAAUGCGUAGAUAUCAGGAGGAACACCCGUGGCGAAGGCGGCUGCCUGGGGCAUACCUGACACUGAGAAGCGAAAGCUAGGGGAGCGAACGGGAUUAGAAACCCCGGUAGUCCUAGCCGUAAACGAUGGACGCUAGGUGUCGGCAGAUCUAACCCUGCCGGUGCCGAAGCCAACGCGUUAAGCGUCCCGCCUGGGAAGUACGAGCGCAAGCUUAAAACUCAAGGAAUUGACGGGGACCCGCACAAGCAGCGGAGCGUGUGGUUUAAUUCGAUGCUACACGAGACUCACCCAGGCUGACAUGUGGUGGUAGGGAAGCGAAAGCGACGACCGCA
rnacentral:rRNA from 1 species